GCCUUUGUGGUGUAACGAUUAGCACACUCGGCACAUAUUCCAGAGGUCCAAGUUCGAAUCCCGGCGAGGGCA
rnacentral:tRNA from 1 species